rnacentral:rRNA from 1 species
GGGAUGCCUUAGUAACGGCGAGUGAGCGGCUAAGCUCUAUUUGAAAUCUGGCUCUUUCACAGUCCGAGUUGUAAUUUGAAGAAGGUAUCUUUGGGUCUGGCUCUUGUCUAUGUUUCUUGGAACACAACGUCACAGAGGGUGAUAAUCCCGUGCGAUGAGAUGAUCCAGGCCUAUGUAAAGUUCCUUCGAAGAGUCGAGUUGUUUGGGAAUGCAUCUCUAAGUGGGUGGUAAAUUCCAUCUAAAGCUAAAUAUUGGCGAGAGACCGAUAGCGAACAAGUACAGUGAUGGAAAGAUGAAAAGAACUUUGAAAAGAGAGUGAAAAAGUACGUGAAAUUGUUGAAAGGGAAGGGCUUGAGAUCAGACUUGGUAUUUUUGUAUGUUACUUUUGGGGGGUGGCCUUACAGUUUACCGGGCCAGCAUCAUUUGGGCGGUAGAGAAUUGCGAUGGAUGUGGCACGACUCGGUUGUGUGUUAUAGCCUUCGUAAUACUGCCAGCCUAACUGAGACUGCGGUUUUAUACCUAGAUGUUGGCAUAAUGAUCUUAAUCCCCGUCUUGAACACGGACCAAGGAUCUAACGUCUAUGCGAGUGUUUGGGUGUUAAACCCGUACGCGUAAUGAAAGUGAACGUAGUGGGGGCCGUAUGGGUGCACCAUCGACCGAUCCUGAUGUCUUCAUGGAUUUGAGUAAGAGCAUACUGUUGACCCGAAAAUGGUGAACUAUGCCUGAAUAGGGUGAAGCCAGAGAACUCUGGUGAGGCUCGUAGCGUCGACGUGCAAAUCGUCUCGAAUUUGGGUAUAGGGGCGAAAGACUAAUCGAACCAUCUAGUAGCUGGUUCCUGCCGAAGUUUCCCUCAGGAUAGCAGAAGCUCGUAUCAGUUUUAUGAGGUAAAGCGAAUGAUUAGAAGUCUUGGGGUUGAAAUGACCUUAACUUAUUCUCAAACUUUAAAUAUGUAAGAAGUCCUUGUUGCUUAAUUGAACGUGGACAAUUGAAUGAAGAGCUUUUAGUGGGCCAUUUUUGGUAAGCAGAACUGGCGAUGCGGGAUGAACCGAACGUGAAGUUAAAGUGCCGGAAUGCACGCUCAUCAGACACCACAAAAGGUGUUAGUUCAUCUAGACAGCCGGACGGUGGCCAUGGAAGUCGGAAUCCGCUAAGGAGUGUGUAACAACUCACCGGCCGAAUGAACUAGCCCUGAAAAUGGAUGGCGCUCAAGCGUGCUACUUAUACUUCACCGUGAUUGCUAAUUUAUGAUGCUUUCACGAGUAGGCAGGCGUGGAGGUCAGUGAAGAAGCCUUGCUUAAAGCUG